CUGGGUCCAGACUCAUAUAUUCAAAUGUGAGCCUAGCUCUCUGUAUUGACCUCUUUAGGCAUUAUAAUGAUACAUUCCUCAUAUGGCCAUCAUGAAAAGCAAACAUGAAAGAAAAAGCACAGGAGUGCCUGGCACCAGUGUAGGUACUCAAUGAACAUUAGCUGUUGGUAUUAUCCUUGACAUCCCCAUGUGGGGUGAAGUUUUAUUACCUGACAUCUCCAUGUGAAUAUCUAACACCUGUACCAUGUUAUCUAGGCUAUGAAACAAUUCUUGGUUCCAACCACCAUUCUUUUCUUAUCCAUGAAUUUCUCAAGGCUUUGGUGAUGGGAUUGUGUGUUUUUCCACACAAUGGACUUGAUUAGGAAUGGUUGGCCAGGUCCUACACAAUAAAUUGCUCUAGCAUUCCUUUGGGUGACCAUUGAGACAAGUUUCAGCCAACGAAUGUAGCAAAGAAUUGGAACCACUCUCAGCUGUUCAUGCGAGUACUCUCAAUCCAGAAUAUCUGGUAAGUCGACUGUUAGGGAUUGAAUUGUGUCCCUCCAAAAUGUCUGUGGAAAUCCUAACCCCUGUACCUGUAAAUCUGACCUUGUUAGGAAAGAGGGGGCCUGCUUUUAUUAUGUGAAUGAGGUCAUACCAAUGUAGGGUGGGUCCUAAGCCUAACUCUUCUUAGUUAUAAAAGGAGCAGAAUACACACAGACUCAAACAGGUGAAAAGGAAGACAGACAAAGAAGACAGAUGCUUCUAGAAGGCCAGGAACACAAAUGAUUGCUGGCAUCUACUAGAAGCUGAGGUAGACAAGGAAGGACCUCCCACUACAGCCAUGCCCUGAAUUCGAACGACCACCUGCUAAACUGUGAGAAAAUAAAUUUCUGUUCUUUAAAGCCAUCCAGUUGUGUUAUUUUUUGUUAUGGAGGGACUAGGUAACUAACACACAUAAGACCCGUUCUUAUAAGUUCAGCCCAGUGCAGAAUAAUUUUCUUCCCUCCUUGGUCUAGACCACCCGAACCUGCUCUUUCCCUAUCAGUGUCCUUUGCUUUCACCUAAGAGCUAUGACAGAGUCAGCUUGAUGCUGAUGCAUUGAAAUUUCAAUUUAUUUUUUAUUUAUGAUUACUAUUAAUUCCGGUAUUUUCUACAGUUUUCAAUGGAGACAGUCCUAUAAUCUAUGAAUAGCAGUUAUACUUUUUCUCUUUUUGUACUAGCUUACACUUCCGGUGUUCAAUGUUUAAUAAAAGUAAUGAUAGAAGCACCCUUAUUUUAUUGUUUAUUAAUUUUAAAGAGAAUGUCCCACACGUCACCAUGAACUAUCAUGCUAGUUGUAGUUUUCCACGUUCGGGAACUCCUUUUCUGUUCCAUAUUUGCUCCUAGUCCUUAUCUCUCCAUGUGAUUGGAUUUUAUCAACCUGCUUUGCCCCCAUCUCUUGAGGUGAGCAUAUGUCUUCUCUUCUUUCACCUAUGCAUGUGGUGAAUGAAAUUACUAAAUCUUUAACGUUCACUCAAAUUUGUAUGCCUACAUGAUCAUGGCAUGUUACGUGGUUUAUACUUUGCUGGAUUUCCUUUGCUGGCAUCUUACGUAGAGUUUUGCAUCUCAGUUACUGAGUGUGCUUGUCCUCUAACUCUUCUUCUACCAUCCUUCUCUAAUUUGUUAUCAUUUUUAAACUAGCCUUAAGGAUCAAGUUAGGGGAGUAUCUCAUGGUUUUCUAAUCUCUGUUGACUAUGUACAAGAUUAAAAUGACUGUUUCUUGCAUGUUUGCUGGAACCUGACUGGAAACGAUCUAGGUCUGCCGUUUUCUUUUUAGGGAGAUCUUGAACUACUGACCCAUUUUAUUUAGUGGUUAAAGGCAUCUUCUGGUGCUAAUUUACUUAGAAAAAAUUCUGAUGCAUGUUCUAGGUUGCUCGAAUCUCAUCUUCAAAUAUUGAUUAUCAGGGCUUGUAGCCUCAUGCAAGGCAAUUCAUCAAUCCCAGAUUUCCCCAAAGUCAGGCUCUGCAACUCUUCCCGGUACCAAAUUCCCUCAUUUAAGACUUAUUUGCAAAGAGACAACAGUAUGCUAUCUACGCGGUUGUUUAUCCGCAACUUUCUUGAGUCCAUAAUGUGAGGAUACAGUCUUCUAAUACUUUUUUUGUAAUUGUUCUCUUUCUUAUUUUUUUUUUUUGCUUUUUUCACUGCCAAUAACCUCCCCCCCCCGUCUAGUAGUUUUAAAGUUGUGCGUUUCAGGUUCAAGUCUGUAAUCCAACUGAGCUUCUGUGUGUGCUGCAUGUGUACAUCAAAAGAACACGCUUCUAGAAGCAGAAAGCAGGCAGUGCGACUGUUGGGUGGUUGGCGGGGGAGGGGGAGGGGAGCUGCUGCUCAGAGAGGGCUCCCAAGGGAGGCACGAGAUGCCGGGCUGCCCACUGCAAGCCCACAGGCUCCAAGGAGGAGGAACCUGAGUGCGCCAUGAGCCUUUUGAGACAGGCCCAAGCCCACCCAGCCGGGUGCUAACCUCGCAUCCGCCAGGCUUGCAGGUUCCACCAGGACUAGGGAAGCCUAAGGCCAAGGAGGGCAAGGUCUAGGGUCUGGACCUGAGAACUGGUUCUGCCACUUGUGAUCGCAGCGCUUAUGCUGGAAAGGAGGGCAGAAAGCAUAUCGCAACGUGUGUCCGGACGAUGACCCAGAACGGGGGAGUUGUGGUCACCCACGGACUCUGGGUCUGCAUAUGGAGGCCCCCAGGGUGCAAUUCCAGGAGCAGAAGGCAAAGCCACAGAGGCCAAAGUGCACCUCGCCGAUGCUUCCCAGGGGCAUUGCCCCAAAUAUGGGGAGCAGUCCCUCCUCUGGGCUAGGGACUUUGUUUCCUCCAUUGUCAUCACUGACUGUGAGCAGACUCUAGUCUAUGCAGACUAAUGAGGAGUUAUCAAAAUGAGCUCCAAACUCCAGAUUUGAGUUAAGGAUCAUAAAUUAACACAGAGAAAUACGACUUUAGCAAUAUGUGACUGUUUGAAGCCCAAGUUGCCUUAAAACACGGAAUUUCAGUCUUUCAGCUCCUCUGCUAAUCUAGUGACUAAGAACAGGAUCUCACUGGAGCUCAAAGAUGUGGGGCACUGGGAAUACUCUGGGUCUGUCUGCUCACGGCUGAUUGCCUGAUCCCAGUUUUAUUAUACAGCUUAAAUACAGACCAGAAGAGGAGUUUGGGGCUUGACACCUGACGUCUUAACACCAGUUCCUGUUUCUUGAGGAAGGAAGAGGUAAAAUAAAUCAGCGUUUACUGUGUCCUUCUCCAUCCCCGGAAGUCUUCAUGAAGACCCUCUCAGCUUCUACUUGAACGUGAAUAUGAGCAACUGAUCAUCUGUUCUGCGGUCAGCCCCUGGCCUGAUUCUGACUCAUGAUAUUGACCUUCUCCAUCAUCACCUUCCACAAAUUUGAUUCCUAUCUAUUCUGCCUGGAAUAGUUCAUGAGUAUAGUCACCAUUUAUGUUCCUGACGAAAGACAUUAUGCUCAUUCUCAGGGCCCUGAGACCUCAUCUGCAGCAGGUGAAGGCAUUCGUGGAGAGAGGCGGUUUCCGUGCGUGCAGGCAAAGUGUGUGCUGAGAUGAGUCGCUGGAGACUGGGGUGGACUCUUCAGACCCAGGAUAGGCCUCUGGCAGGUAUAUGUCAAUGUUUUCUGCCCAUGGCACUCACCCGGAUAUUUGCAUACAAUGUUAUCAGUGGAAUUAGUAGUCUCCAGAGAGGCUGCCACAUGUCAGCAAGCUUCACCUGGCCAGGUCCGCCCAGGAUGUAGCUCCCCAAUCAAUCACUACUCUCUAGACCUUCCAGAUAGACUAGCAGAUCUUCUCUGCCCAUGGGCAACCAGUAGAGCCAGAGGCCUUCUCUCUUUGCUCUUUCGUCUCUAGGCAUUCUAUCAGGCAUUCCAAGCUGUGAAGUGCCUGGGAGGAGAAGGAAGAGAUUUCAGAGAAUGAACACAUACAGAGAGACAGGCAAGAGACGGUGAGUGGGGAUGUCUUGCCUACUGAUAUCCUCAGGAAAGUGGGAAAAUUGGACCCUGGCCUGCUAUGACAAUGCCCUGAAGCAGUCCGCACCAGGGGCUCCCUUGUGCCUGCAUAGCCUUUCCCAGGGUGUGCUCAAAUCCUGUGGCCACUAGGUGUCCUGGGUCACAAUGGAGGGCCCUGUGUCAUCUGCCUGUUGGGCUGGAUCUCUGCCAUUGGCUGAGUCUUGUCACCAGGCCCAUCAUAAGCUCUGCCCACUCUUCCUGUGGGGGGACUGUCUCCAUGGUGAUGGCAAAGAAGCCUGAGUUCCGCCCACCUGGCCUUGACUUCACCUACCUGGCCUGCUGACCCUCACUCAGACCUCUGUGUUGAUCAAAAUGAAUGUCCGCCAGUGGCCAGGUGUCAGCAUCUGGGAUAAAGGAUUGGGGACCUUGCCUGGGGCAGAAGGCAGCCUAGGUCUGUGGGUACCUGGAAGUCUUGUGACUUCUGCCGCUGCUGCCAGUGACAGAUGGUGACUCCCACACUCACAUAUCCCCUGGUGGCAGAAGGAUAGUGAUGGGCGGAGAAACAUGGCUCCGGAGCACACUUUAAAUGCGGCACCAGCCAAAGGCCAGGGCAAGGAGUGGACGUCGUGGAGCUUAAUUGCAAGCCAGUGAAGGGCCCAAGGAUUUCUCCUAUAUGUGGCAAACAGGUCAUCCGUGUCCCCACGUCCAUAAACCAUUGGACUGCAGUGCCAGACUGCCAGGAUUUCGGCCUUGCCAUUGGAGCCCGUCCACAUACGCUGCGUUGCACCGGAGGCGGGGACAUGUAGACAGCAAAAAUUUGGAAAAUGGCAUCAUCUCUUCAAUUUCCCUAGCAUUGGCCUUUUUCAGUGGCAUGCUUUGUUUCCUAGUAGGAUAAGGCACUGACGGAGAAAGGCAGGAGUAUGUGUGUAGGAAAGGUGUGUGCCGAAAGGGUGACGACGUUGAGACCACGUUGGGAUCUUUAGUCCCAGGAAAGGCCCCUGGCAGGUGUGGGUCAAUGUUCUCUGCUCAUCCGAGUUGGCGGGGGAGGUUUUCACCAAACAAAGCAGCAGAGGAAUUAUUCGUAGCCUGAGAGGUUGCAUCUGCCCACAAGCUCCACCUGGCCAGGGUCCGCCCCUACUGUAUUGCCCAUGUCAAUCAACAGAAGCUAAGACCUUCCAGAGAGACUACCUGCUAUUGUCUACCCACCGGGAAGCGGUCCAGCCAGAAGCCUCCCCCGUUUCAUCUCCAGGCUCUCUGUCAGGCCCCUCAUACUUGUGAUGUGUCUCAGGGGUAGAAGGAAGAGAUUUCUCUGAAUGAACACAUCCAGAGAGGAGCCAUAGAUGCUGAGGAAGGGCGCCUUGUCUACUGAUAUCCUAGCGUAAGUGUAAAAGAGGUACCUGCCUGCUGUCCCAGUGUGUCGAACGUGUCCACAUCAGGGGUUGGCUACUGUAAAAUUAUUCCCUGGUGCCCUCGAUUUUGUGGCCAAAGACACGAGGGGCCGUUGUGUGUCCAUGGGUACAAUGGAGGGCUCUGCGGAACGGGCUGGUUAGGCUGGACUUCUCCUAUUGGCUCAGUGUUUGUGACUCGUCCCCGUCAGAAGUUCCGCCCAGCCUUCUGGUGGCUGUCUCCAUGAGGAUUGGGAAAGAAGCCCUAGGCCCCGCACUCGGCCUUCACCUGGCCUACCUGGCCUCUUUACCCUCAUCUAGACCGCUCUGUGCAUGAAAGAAAGGAUGUCGGCCACUGACCAAGCAUCCUCAUUUCCUUGGAAGUAUUAGGCUCCUUGCGUGGGCAGAAGACAGCCAAGGUCAGCCUGAGCCUAGACACCUAGUGACCUGUGACACUGCAGCCAGCGAUAGAUGUUGAUGUCCACGCUCAGGUAUCCGCAGUUGACGGAUUCAGAGUGGUCAGAGGAGAAGUGUAACUAGAGAUCACACACUCAUGAGGGCACGGGCCAAAGGUCAGGGAAAAUAGCUGAGGUCGUGGAGCUCUAGCGGAGCCAGUCAAGGGCCCAGGCCUCCCUCCUGUACGUGGCAAAGAGGUGUCACCUUCCGCAGAGUAUGCUGCCACCCGCAGACUCUGGACUGCUGGGGCCCUGGAUGCCCGGAUUUCGGCCUUGUGUUUGGAGAAGUGACGUGCAUGCAGUGUGCCACCGGGGGCUGUGGCCCAGCAGAAGCAAAAUCUUGAAAAUGGGAGCUUCAGUUGACUUUGCGUGUUCUCUCCCUUGGCUGAGUGCCAUCCUGUGUUUCCUAGCAGGAGAAGGCAUUCGUGGAGAAAGGCAGAUUCCAUGUGUGCAGGCAAAGUGUGUGCUGACAUGAUGAGACCCUGGAGACCAGGGUGGACUCUUCAGACCCAGGACAGGCCUCUGGCAGGUAUGUGUCAAUGUUUUCUGCCCGUGGCACUCAACCGGGUAUUUGCAUACAGUGUCAUCAGCAGAAUUAGUAGUCUCCGGAGAGGCUACCACAUGUCAGCAAGCUUCACCUGGCCAGAGUCCACCCGUGAUGUAGCUCCCCAAUCAGUCACUACUGUCUAGACCUUCCAGAUAGACUAGCAGAUCUUCUCUGCCCAUGGGCAACCAGUAGAGCCAGAGGCCUUCCCCCUUUGCUCUUUCAUCUCUAGGCUCUCUAUCAGGCACUCCAAGCUGUGAAGUGACUCAGGGAGAGAAGGAAGAGAUUUCAGAGAAUGAACACAUACAGAGAGAGAGGCA